rnacentral:rRNA from 1 species
UACGUAGGGGGCAAGCGUUGUCCGGAAUCAUUGGGCGUAAAGAGCGUGUAGGCGGCCAGGUAGGUCCGUUGUGAAAACUGGAGGCUUAACCUCCAGCUGUCGAUGGAAACCAUCUGGCUAGAGUCCGGAAGAGGCGAGUGGAAUUCCUGGUGUAGCGGUGAAAUGCGCAGAUAUCAGGAGGAACACCAAUGGCGAAGGCAGCUCGCUGGGACGGUACUGACGCUGAGACGCGAAAGCGUGGGGAGCAAACAGG